GUCGUAACAAGGUUUCCGUAGGUGAACCUGCGGAAGGAUCAUUAAAGAGUAAGGGUGCUCAGCGCCCGACCUGCAACCCUUUGUUGUUAAAACUACCUUGUUGCUUUGGCGGGACCGCUCGGUCUCGAGCCGCUGGGGAUUCGUGCCCAGGCGAGUGCCCGCCAGAGUUAAACCAAACUCUUGUUAUUAAACCGGUCGUCUGAGUUAAAAUUUUGAAUAAAUCAAAACUUUCAACAACGGAUCUCUUGGUUCUCGCAUCUAUGAAGAACGCAGCUAAAUGCGAUAAGUAAUGUGAAUUGCAGAAUUCAGUGAAUCAUCGAAUCUUUGAACGCACAUUGCGCCCCUUGGUAUUCCGAGGGGCAUGCCUGUUCNAGCGUCAUUACACCACUCAAGCUAUGCUUGGUAUUGGGCGUCGUCCUUAGUUGGGCGCGCCUUAAAGACCUCGGCGAGGCCUCACCGGCUUUAGGCGUAGUAGAAUUUAUUCAAUUAACGUCUGUCAAUGGAGAGGACUUCUGCCGACUGAAACCUUUAUUUUUUACAGGUUGACCUCNGAUCAGGUAGGGAUACCCGCUGAACUUAAGCAUAUCAAUAG
rnacentral:rRNA from 1 species